rnacentral:rRNA from 1 species
UUUGCGAUCAGAUACCGCCCUAGUUCUGACCGUAAAUGAUGCCAACUGACAAUUCGUUUGUGAAUUCAAUUCAUAAGCGAGCGGUCUACCGGAAACGAAAGUUUUUCGGUUCCGGGGGAAGUAUGGUUGCAAAGCUGAAACUUAAAGGAAUUGACGGAAGGGCACCACCAGGAGUGGAGCUUGCGGCUUAAUUUGACUCAACACGGGAAACCUCACCCGGCCAGUACAUCGUGAGGAUUGACAGAUCGAUAGCUUUUUCAUGAUUCGGUGAAUGGUGGUGCAUGGCCGUUCUUAGUUCGUGGAUCGUUUUGUCUGGUUUAUUCCGAUAACGAGCGAGACGCCAACUGUUAAAUAGAGCAUAAAUAACAUAUUGCAUUUAUGUAAUAUGACAAUGUUUAUGUAAAUCUUCUUAAAGGGAUACGUGGUUUGAAACCGCAUGAAAUGGCGCAAUAACAGGUCUGUGAUGCCCUUAGAUGUUCGGGGCCGCACGCGUGCUACAAUGGUGGUAUCAGCGUGCUUGUCCUAUCUCGAUAGAGAAUGGAAAACAGUUGAGAUAUUAUUAUGGCUGGAAUUGAGUGUUGAAAUUUUCAUUCAUGAACGAGGAAUUCCAAGUAAAUGCUAGUCAUCAACUUGCAUUGAUUACGUCCCUGCCCUUUGUAA